UACGAAGGUGGCAAGCGUUGUUCGGAUUUACUGGGCGUACAGGGAGCGUAGGCGGUUGGAUAAGCCCUCCGUGAAAUCUCCAGGCUUAACCUGGAAAGUGCAGAGGGGACUGUUCAGCUAGAGGAUGGGAGAGGAGCGCGGAAUUCCCGGUGUAGCGGUGAAAUGCGUAGAGAUCGGGAGGAAGGCCGGUGGCGAAGGCGGCGCUCUGGAACAUUUCGUCGGACGCUGAGGCUCGAAAGCGUGGGGAGCAAACAGGA
rnacentral:rRNA from 1 species